AAGUUCCCGAGCGGCCCGUUUACUUCUCAUGUAUUUUUGGGUAAUUUACCGGCCCAUCCCAGAACUUCCCGAUCCGGUAAGCCUCAUCCUCGCGUAUCCUCACACACGAGGGUACCCCCGUGUCUCUGGUCGUGGAAAAGGGAAGAGAGGCGACGGGCGACGGGCGGGCGACGGGCGACGGGCGACGGCGGCGACAGAGCCGACGACGGCGGGGAAAGGAGACGGCGGCGGGCAAAUCAAGACGGCGCCGACGAGAUCCUCCUCCGGCGACUGGUCCCCGCAGGAGCUAUUUUUCUUGAAAGAUGGUGUUGGCACAUUUCAACAACAAUGGCGCGCAAGAUUCUGUAGUCCUGUGUUGUCAUGUAUCUUCAGUUAGCAUUUAUCUAGUUUUCUGAAACAGCAGGAGCUAUUAUUCUUGAAAGAUGGUGUCGGCACAUUUCAACAACAAUGGCGCACAAGAUUCUGUAGUCCUGUGUUGUCAUGUAUCUUCAGUUAGCAUUUAUCGAAAAUUCACUAUCUUGGAUAUUACUUCUUGCAGUCAUUUACCAUAAUAUGUAUAACUGGGUGUUGCUGGAGCCGUCAAAUUUAGAAGUAUAUGGUAUGACUGAUUAUUGUCGUUUUUGGUA